rnacentral:rRNA from 1 species
GUACACGCUGUGACUAGCAUAUCAAUAAGCGGAGGAAAAGAAACUAACAAGGAUUCCCCUAGUAACGGCGAGUGAAGCGGGAAGAGCUCAAAUUUGAAAUCUUAAAGGGUUUCCCUUUACGAAUUGUAGUUUAAAGAAGUGUUUUCUGUUGAGGUUUUGGUAAAAGUUCUUUGGAAUAGGACAUCAUAGAGGGUGAGAAUCCCGUAUUUGACCUUUACUUUCAACUUUGUGAUACACUUUCAAAGAGUCGGAUUGUUUGGGAGUGCAGUCCAAAAUGGGUGGUAAAUUUCAUCUAAAGCUAAAUAUUGGCGAGAGACCGAUAGCGAACAAGUACCGUGAGGGAAAGAUGAAAAGAACUUUGAAAAGAGAGUUAAACAGUACGUGAAAUUGUCAAAAGGGAAGCGUUUGACACCAGUGUUGUUUUUCUGAAAAUCAAUUAAAGAACUGUUUAUGCUAAGCUGUUUAGACUUUAUCAGCUAUCUGUUUAGUUUUAGGCUUUUCUUUAAUGCACUUUUCAGUUAACAAGUCAACAUCAAUUUCUUUUGCUGUUAAAAAAGCUUGAGGAAGGUGGCUUGAGAUUCGUCUUAAGUGUUUAUAGCCUCUUGCCUAUGCAGUCGGAGAGAUUGAGGUCUGCAGCGUAGAUCCUUCGGGGCUAAAUGCAUUUGUGCUAAGUUAUAGCAUUUUAUAGACAACUUGUUGACUAUGAUUUGUCUUGUAGCUUACUCGCUUAUGUUAUUUUACCUACGCUUAGGAUGUUGAAGUCAUCGUAUCGCGC